UAAAUUGCAUGAGGGAGAUUGUGUUUCAGUGACACAUGAACAGCUAAAGUGCUCCAAAAAACCCAACAGCUUAACCUCAGGAAAAGGAGGAAAGUCAUUGUGCAUGGAAAAAGGAGUGGAAAUAUUAAAAGGGACAGAUCCUCAGUUAAUGACUGGAGAUGGCCAGCAGUAUAUUCUUCUGACACUGCAAUGUGGAACUUAAAGAGUUUUGGUCAAAAAGUUUCAUUCAGCUCCACUUACAACUCCCAUGAAGACAAGAGGUUGCAAGGUUCAACUGGGGACAGGAUGUGGCCUGCAGAAAUCUAUAUUAGUGUUAGUGACACAUGAACCAGUUAGAACCCAGCUUGGUUUUCAGAUACUGGGAACCUUAAAACAAGAGAACCAACAACACAGAGAGAGAGAAAACAGGCUGCUCUCUAAGGCAGCAAGGUACAACUCACCCCACCUUGUUCUAGGCUGGCUCUUGCAGAAUGACUGCUGCUAGAUCCUGGUCACACACUUCUCUACAGAGCCCCUCCCCUGCAAGCAGGACCAGGAAAACAUCUGAAAAUUUAAAGUAAUAGUUUACAGUUUUAACACAGUU